GGGGCGGGGGAUGGGAGGCUUGCCACCUUCAGCCCCCCGGCGAGUGCCCAAGGUGCACAUAUCUUGACCAACUCAGAAACAAGGUGGAUUUUCUUUGUGUUUAAAGAAAAAAACAAUGUCCCCGUGUCUGUAGAGAUGAUCUGCAGUUCAGCCCGGCUGAAGCUGACCGAAUGAGACUAUGGGCUGUGCCUCUGUCAAGCAUGUUGCCACUGUUCAAAAUGAAGAGGAGGCCCAGAAAGGGAAAAACUACCAGAAUGGAGAUGUGUUUGGCGACGAGUAUAGGAUCAACCCAGUGGAAGAGGUCAAAUACAUGAAAAAUGGGGCAGAAGAAGAGCAGAAAAUAGCAGCCAGGAACCAAGAAAACUUGGAAAAAAGUGCCAGCUGAAGUACCCGCUUAAAUGUCAGACUUAAAACUAAUAAAGAGGUUCCGGGAUUAGUUCAUCAAACCAGAGCAAACAUGCACAUCUCUGAAAGCCAACAAGAAUUCUUCAGAAUGCUGGAUGAAAAAAUUGAAAAGGGUCGGGAUUACUGUUCGGAAGAAGAGGAUAUCACAUAG